AGUUAGUGGUUAAACCACUAAAAAAUCCACGGCCAAAGACACAAUUUUAAAGGUCAUGGAGGGUUCCUCGUAUUAAAAACAUGAAUCGCUUUGUUGACAAAUAGAUUCCAAAGAGCGUAGAAAUUACUUCUACUUUUCCUGUGCGUAUCCCCCCAGUUUGUUGAGAAAGUGUCUAAAAGACGGUGUACUAAUCUAGAAGAUGUCUGACCAUUCGUUACACGCUCCUCAUUACUUUCCAGGUAAGUUAAUACCUUCUGUCGUGGAAUUUUUGUAAGUAAUUGCUUUUAGAUGAUUCGGAAUGGAACUCUUGGAUGUUCGCCAUGAUUGGUAUUGGAUGCAUCUUCAUUGCCUUUGUUGCAGUCUCAAUAUUUUUAAUGUGCCAACAACCAAGAUCCGCCGAACGCCAAGUCCUAACCAAUGGAUGAAAUAAUACAUAAAGACAUCUGAAAUACAUCAUUAUCAAAGCA